UUCCUAGUGGCUCAGAUGGUAAAGAAUCUGCCUGCAAUGCAGGAGACCGGAGUUUGAUCCUCUGUCGGGAAG
rnacentral:tRNA from 1 species